CAGCGGCAGACGGGUGAGUAACACGUAGGUGAUCUACCCCAGAGACGGGGAUAACGGGUGGAAACAUCCGCUAAUACCGGAUAGGCUUGUUCGGUCAAAGGGACAAGGAAAGGCUCCGGCGCUCUGGGAGGAGCCUGCGGCCCAUCAGCUAGUUGGCGGGGUAACGGCCCACCAAGGCAAAGACGGGUAGGGGGUGUGAGAGCAUGGCCCCCCACAAUGGGACUGGAACACGGCCCAUACUCCUACGGGAGGCAGCAGCAGGGAAUAUUGCACAAUGGACGGAAGUCUGAUGCAGCGACGCCGCGUGGAUGAAGAAGGCCCUCGGGUUGUAAAAUCCUUUACAGGGGGAAGAGGAAGGACGGUACCCCUGGAACAAGUGUCGGCUAACUACGUGCCAGCAGCCGCGGUAAGACGUAGGACACAAGCGUUAUCCGGAUUUACUGGGCGUAAAGCGUCUGCAGGCGGACAGGUAAGUUGGGCGUGAAAGCUCCGGGCCCAACCCGGAGAGGUCGUUCAAUACUGCGUGUCUAGAGGGUGUCAGAGGGGAGUGGAAUUUCCGGAGUAGCGGUAAAAUGCGCAGAGAUCGGAAAGAACACCAAUGGCGAAGGCAGCUCCCUGGGGCAACCCUGACGCUAAGAGACGAAAGCUAGGGGAGCGAACAGGAUUAGAGACCCUGGUAGUCCUAGCCCUAAACGAUGGAUGCUGGAUGUGGGGCCAUAGCGCUCCGUGUCGAAGCGAACGCGUUAAGCAUCCCGCCUGGGGACUACGGCCGCAAGGUUAAUACUCAAACGAAUUGACGGGACCCCGCACAAGCAGCGGAGCGUGUGGUUUAAUUCGAUGCUACACGAAGAACCUUACCUGGGUUUGACAUCUAGGUGGUAGUGAAGCGAAAGCGGACCGACCCUUCGGGGAGCCUAGACAGGUGCUGCAUGGCUGUCGUCAGCUCGUGCCGUGAGGUGUCGGGUUAAGUCCCGUAAUGAGCGCUACCCUUGCCGUCCGUUAUACGUGUCAGAGGGGCUGCCGCAGUAAGCCGGAGGAAGGUGGGGAUGACGUCAAGUCAGCAUGGCCUUCAUAGCCAGGGCUACACACACGCUACAAUGGCCAGUACGACGGGCAGCGAAGCCGCGAGGUGGAGCGAAUCCCAGCAAAGCUGGUCGUAG
rnacentral:rRNA from 1 species